rnacentral:rRNA from 1 species
AUGGAGACGUCUCACAUUUGGAGAGGAGCUCUGCAAUGGUGGGACGAUUGGCAGCUGCGCGUGCUCGUCCUGGGCAGCCUGGGCCUUCAGUGGUUCCUCCUGCUGGCUGCCCCCAUGCACAAGUACGCCCUCCCGCGCGUCUUGAGGACAUUCAUCUGGCUGGCAUAUAUUUCCAGUGAUCCUCUGGCAAUAUACGCGCUGGCCACCCUCUUCAAUCGCCACGCAAAGACCAGCAACUCUGGCGGUGACACUCACACUGUCACCGGGACCGGGAGCGAGCAGCAGUCGAGCAUCCUGGAGGUCCUAUGGUCUCCUAUCCUUCUCAUCUACCUCGGUGGGCAGGAGGGAAUGAGUGGCUACGAGAUAGAGGACAACAAGCUGUGGGGGAGGCACACCGUGACCUUGGUGUCCCAGGUGGCUGUCGCCUUGUACGCCUUCUACAAGUCGUGGCCCAGAUCCAACGACCCAAAGCUAUUGGUGGUCGCGGUUCUUCUCUUCGUCGUCGGGGUCAUCAGCUUCAGCCAGAAGCCAUGGGCUCUCAAAGCUAAAGCCAGGAGACUGGCGGCUGUAUCGUCCGGGGUGCAAGGACCAAAGAAGCCUUCCAACUGGAAGGAGCGCAUGAACCAGUUUUUCUUUGGGGCGAGCCACUGCUUCACCGGCACCCGGAAGGCACAAAACAUGUCUCUGCUAGCUGCUGCCAAGGACCUGGUAGCACAAAAGAAGACUGGCAGGGUGAAGGACGUUCUGGGACCUCUGCCCGUCGCUGAGAGAGCCUUGCUGGGCUGGCUGCGGAUCAUAUUCGCAUUCCACUACACCAGAGAGCAUGUAGUUGGAGGUCCCAAUCCUCUCUACCUGCUCUAUCAUCGGUUGAUGGUCCCGAUCCUGCACAUCACCGCUCUGACGCUGUUUGCAAUGAGCGGCAAGCACCAGUACAAGCACACUGACGUGAAGAUAACAUACAUCAUUCUGUGCCUCACCGCCGCCAUGGAUGUCCUCGCACCAUCCAUCCACCGGCUCAUAUACUGGCUAAUGUCCAAGACAAAUGCUACAGCCCUGUGCGAGACAGUACCCAGCUACAACCUCAUAGACACCGCUCUUCGGGAAGGUGACAAGAGCAUCGGGUGGAUUUACAUGUGUGCCAGGAGCAUGGGCUUCAAUUGUAAUUUCAACAGCUUUUGCAGGCCUCAACUUGGUCAAGUGUACUACAGAAAGGUCACACAAACUGUGAUUGCAGAUCUGGUGGAUGCACUAGACCGAGACCUUGCGAGUUACAGGAUCUUCAAUUCCACCAACUGGGCUCUAAGCGAGGAGCAGCAAGAGCAUUGUGGCGUGGAGAUAAAAAAAUGCUUACGCAUCUCAUUCGACCGGAGCGUCCUCCUAUGGCACAUUGCCACUGAUCUUUGCUUCCGCUGCUGCAUUGGCGAUGACUUGGUCGAUGAUGUUGGUGAAGAAGCAGGAUAUGGGAGAGGACUACAAGGAGAAGGAAGGGAAGAAUUUGACGAAGGAGGAGAAGAAGAAGAAAUGAGGGGGGACCCAUCAUUACAGCUUCAUAUGGAGUGCACAUUUGCAAUAUCCAACUACAUGGCACACCUGCUCAAUUUCAACCCCGAGAUGCUUCUGACUGGCAGCAGGCACCAUCUGAUCUCCGAAGCCAUGGAGGAAAUCAAGUCCUCCUUUCGGGCCAAGAAAGAUAAAUUGAGCCAAAAAGAGCAACUCAAGGAGCUCAUUGCCGCCAUGGCAGAGGGUGAUCACAAGUCAGUUAAUGGACAUGAUGACACAAGCCAAGGUUUCGUCCACAUCACAGAGGCAUGCAAGCUUGCGAAAGAGCUGUUGGAGCUGCCAGACCGGACUCGCUGGAUGCUCAUGUACCGGGUGUGGCUGGGCAUGCUCUGCUACUCCGCCAGCAAGUGCAGGGGCUACCUGCACGCCAAGAGCUUGGGUGAAGGUGGAGAGUUCCUCACUUACGUCUGGCUCGUGCUCAUGCUCAAGGGGGCCAAGAGCUUGGUCGACAAGCUUCAGAUGCCGCCGGAGACCCAAGCUUCCGACGAUGCCGGAUCACAAGCAUGA